rnacentral:lncRNA from 1 species
CUACAUGUAUGCUACCUAAACAAUAUCAUUCUUUUAUUGAUACUCCUACAUGUAUGCUACCUAAACAAUAUCAUUCUUUUGUUUAUACUCCUACAUGUAUGCUACCUAAACAAUAUCAUUCUUUUAUUUAUACUCCUACAUGUAUGCUACCUUAAAUAAUACAUGUAUUUACACAGUCUUGUGUGUAUGUAAUAAGGUUAUGAAUAUAUGUAUGAACAGUCUUGUUUGUAUGUAAGAAGGUUAUGAAUAUGUAUAUGUAAGAAUGAAAUGGCAUUAAGAAAAUGGAAGACUUUGCCUACCUGAUUUUAACAUUGUGAUCUAGUCAUUUUAUACAGUGCGUGUGCAACAUGUGCAAUGAAUUAAGCUGUGUUUGCCUGCAUAUGCAUUUUUUUACUUUGGAAGUUAUGUUUUUUUUUAUAUUUUUGUACAUUAAAACAUGUAAAUCAUCCAUUGAACCAUGUACAGAAAUGUGAAUAGAAAACUUUUAUAAUGGAUGUCAAAUAAUUUGUGCUCAGUGAAAAUGUAGAUGAAGGUAAACAUUUACUGUGGAUUCAUUAUUUUUUGUUGGAUACUAAUUUUCUUAGAUUUUGUGGGUACGGUUGAACAACGAAAUUAUCAUAAUUUUAUGUUCCAAGAAUGGCAAACAAGACCUGUAUGCAGACUUCAGCAAAACCACAAAAUUAAAUAUCCUCUACAUCCACUAUGAUGCAAGUUUUCCUAAUCCACAAAAAUUGGUACCCACGAAAUAAAUAAAUCCACAGUAUAUCUAUAACUUUAGUAUUUUUCCCCAUUUUCAAAAGUGCCAUUACUGGGUACUAUUUAAAUCUAAGUUGUCAGUUAGAACUAUGUCUUCUUUGUUUUAAAUGUAUGACUUUUGUGUGAAA